GAUGAACGCUGGCGGCGUGCUUAACACAUGCAAGUCGAACGGAAAGGCCACAGCUUGCUGUGGUACUCGAGUGGCGAACGGGUGAGUAACACGUGGGUGAUCUGCCCUGUACUUCGGGAUAAGCUUGGGAAACUGGGUCUAAUACCGGAUAGGAAUCACAUGUGGGUGUGUGGUUGGAAAGCUUUUGCGGUAUGGGAUGAGCUCGCGGCCUAUCAGCUUGUUGGUGGGGUAAUGGCCUACCAAGGCGUCGACGGGUAGCCGGCCUGAGAGGGUGUACGGCCCAAUGGGGACUAGGUAACGGCCCAGCCCCCUACGGGGGGCAGGAGGGGGGAAUAUUGCAAAAGGGGCGAAAGCCUGAUGCAGCGACGCCGGGGGGGGGAGGGCGGCCUUCGGGUUGUAAACUCCUUUCGUCAGGGACGAAGCGAAAGUGACGGUACCUGGAUAAAAAGCCCCGGCUAACUACGU
rnacentral:rRNA from 1 species